UACGUAGGUGACCAGCGUUGUCCGGAUUUACUGGGCGUAAAGAGCGCGCAGGCGGUCGUUCAAGUCGAGUGUGAAAGCCCCCGGCUCAACUGGGGAGGGUCACUUGAUACUGAUCGACUCGAAGGCAGGAGAGGGAAGCGGAAUUCCCGGUGUAGUGGUGAAAUGCGUAGAUAUCGGGAGGAACACCAGUGGCGAAGGCGGCUUCCUGGCCUGUACUUGACGCUGAGGCGCGAAAGCUAGGGGAGCAAACGGG
rnacentral:rRNA from 1 species